rnacentral:misc_RNA from 1 species
AAAUGCGAUAAGUAGUGUGAAUUGCAGAAUUCAGUGAAUCAUCGAAUCUUUGAACGCACAUUGCGCCCCUCGGUAUUCCGUGGGGCAUGCCUGUUCGAGCGUCAUCUACACCCUCAAGCUCUGCUUGGUGUUGGGCGUCUGUCCCGCCUCCUUCGCGCGCGGACUCGCCCCAAAUCCAUUGGCGGCGGCCCUUGCCUCCCUCUCGCGCAGCACAUUGCGCUUCUCGAGGCGCGGCGGACCGCGUACAGCAAGCAACCGUCACACCGUCUUUGACCUCGGAUCAGGUAGGGAUACCCGCUGAACUUAAGC